AAUCUAAGAACUGAAUUUAGUUUUCUGGUUAACAAUUAAUGGAUUGAUGGUGAUUUUUUCUUUUACCAAUUAAUUGAUUGGGGGAUAGUGAUUAAUCUGCUGUGUGUUAUAAGCAAACUGUCUAAGGUAAAGGGACUAGAUCAACUCGCCGGUCUAGAAGGAUGGUGAUUUGUAUUGAUGGGAAGUGGAAUUAAAAAUUAUAUGUAAUAACCAUCACCUAACUCGGGUGCAGAUUGACAUCUUUUAGUUUUUUUGAGAGACAAAAAAUUCCUACCAAAAGUAAC